GAUGAACGCUGGCGGCGUGCCUAAUACAUGCCAGUCGAGCGAACGGACGAGAAGCUUGCUUCUCUGAUGUUAGCGGCGGACGGGUGAGUAACACGUGGAUAACCUACCUAUAAGACUGGGAUAACUUCGGGAAACCGGAGCUAAUACCGGAUAAUAUUUUGAACCGCAUGGUUCAAAAGUGAAAGACGGUCUUGCUGUCACUUAUAGAUGGAUCCGCGCUGCAUUAGCUAGUUGGUAAGGUAACGGCUUACCAAGGCAACGAUGCAUAGCCGACCUGAGAGGGUGAUCGGCCACACUGGAACUGAGACACGGUCCAGACUCCUACGGGAGGCAGCAGUAGGGAAUGUUCCGCAAUGGGCGGAAGCCUGACGGAGCAACGCCGCGUGAGUGAUGAAGGUCUUCGGAUCGUAAAACUCUGUUAUUAGGGAAGAACAUAUGUGUAAGUAACUGUGCACAUCUUGACGGUACCUAAUCAGAAAGCCACGGCUAACUACGUG
rnacentral:rRNA from 1 species